AGGCUAACGGAACGCUGAGAGGGGAAGGGUGCCAAGAUUUCAUUUGCAGAUAUUUCCUCUUGCAUUUCUGUCAAUGCACUGCCAUUCACCUGGGUGAGGGAGAAGAUGAAGUGAUUAUUUGACAUCCUCACAGUCUGACAUCUAAGCUCAUAUUGAUUGGUGAAGAAAAGCAGGAAGACAAAUGGUAAAGUGGACAUGUUAAAUUGCCCCUUCCCGAAUGCCUGUAUUGAUCCACUUGUGUAGAUUAAUUUGUGUGUAUGUAAAUCGCAGACCAUAGACAUUGGAAUGGCAUUAAAUAUGCAUAAUUAAAAUGGCAAAAUUCAAGGAGAUAUCUCAUGGUAAAACUUCAAAAACACCAACCAGCUUUCGUCUAACAAACACUCCAAACACAGACCACGUCCUUCACGAUUUGAUGCAAUGUCAUCAGUUACUACACUCUCUUUAAACUGAACACAAACACACAGGCGUGUUGCUGUAAUUCAGUGCAAACUAUUACGGGGUCUUAUUUUCAACAGUGAAAACUCAUUAGGCCAUUAAGUUCAGACAGACUGUAUUAGGUUACAGUAAAUAACAUGGAUCUAUGCCAGAGCAAAGCCCUUUAUCUUCUGUACAGACACGAUGUUGCUGUUCCCCUUCAUUGCAUGCUGCAACACUUAAAGCCUCUGAAGAUUGACUCCAAUUCACGCUUGACUUCCCUCAUUCCAGGCAGAGAUGAGCAGACGGGUUUAUAUCAGUGAAAAUUAAUAAUUGGGCAUUAACUUGGCUUUCUUAUAAUAUAAGGAGGAGAGAUGAGUCCAGGAAUUUUAACCCUUAUGGGUUGUUGGGGCCAUUUUUGGCCUUUUUUGUCUUAAUUUGGCCACAACUUUCUCUGUGUUUCAGCAAAUGGAAUGAUUUUUGGUGAC